rnacentral:misc_RNA from 1 species
GAUGAAGAACGUAGCGAAAUGCGAUACGUAAUGUGAAUUGCAAAUUCAGUGAAUCAUCGAGUCUUUGAACGCACAUUGCGCCCCCUGGUAUUCCGGGGGGCAUGCCUGUCCGAGCGUCAUUGCUGCCCUCAAGCACGGCUUGUGUGUUGGGCCCCGUCCUCCGAUCCCGGGGGACGGGCCCGAAAGGCAGCGGCGGCACAGCGUCCGGUCCUCGAGCGUAUGGGGCUUUGUCACCCGCUCUGUAGGCCCGGCCGGCGCUUGCCGAUCAACCCAAAUUUUUUAUCCAGGUUGACCUCGGAUCAGGUAGGGAUACCCGCUGAACUUAAGCAUAUCAAUAAGCGGAGGA